UUUCCGUAGGUGAACCUGCGGAAGGAUCAUUAUUGGAUUUUGAAACUUCAGGCUGCUGCUGGCUCUCCUCGGAGGGCAUGGGCACGCUUGUUGUCCAUUAUUUCUCCCACUGUGCACAGAUUGUAGACCUUUCAGUAGGCCUAUGUUGUUUUUCACAAUCUCUGAAUGUAAUAGAAUGGUUUUGAAUCUUGGGAAAUACAAUACAACUUUCAGCAACGGAUCUCUUGGCUCUC
rnacentral:misc_RNA from 1 species